UUAAUAUUUCAAAUACUUUUCGUUCACAUUAAAUAACUGUGUGUUUCGAGUUUAUCAAAUCUAAGGGAAAAAGUAGUGUAGCGUAGCGUUUCCUAAAAUCUUGAGACGAAUUGGGCGACCCGACUCUUUCAAAGUAUUUCAGUCUUUUCGUCCUCCAUCAACUCUCUCGGAUUGCCCCAUGAUCCUUUGAGAAGCACUCUAACAGCCUUCAUGGAUACCAAGCAUAGCACAUCAAAUCUACCUUGGAUAUGGGUGAUUGAAACAUUGGCAACUUCCAAUGAGAUAGACACAUCUUUACUCAUUGAUUUGGUUAAGCGGACUCCUGAAAUUUCUGAUGAAAUGGGAAGAAAUGCAAGGGAGCUUGUCUCCUUGAAAGUUUUAGAGACCUUGUCUGUCCAGGAAAUCUCAAAUGCAAAUAAUGAUGCUUCAGUUCCGGGUGAUAAAAUUGAAUUGGAUCGAUCAGUGCGCUGUGAAGAUGUCCUCCGCCACUUAUUGUUGGGGGUCUCAACAGAUCAAAAAAUGGUGGAGCCAGAGGUGUCAAAAUGGGAUGUUCAAUCAUUUAUUAGCAAAAAAAGAUCUUGCUUGCCAAAAUGUGCUUUGCAACAAAUUAAGGAUACUGUAGAUACUACCAAUCCUCUUUCUACAUCCUUGAAACCGAAGAAUGGAUUGGAGAUUGACAGUCACUCCAGAGAUGGAGGUCGUUUUAAUGCUGUUGAUUCUAAUGGCAUUAAGCAGAGUCGUGAAGUAAGAGGCGGUGAUGCUCAACAUGAACAUGUUUUAUCAAGUGGGAAUGCAACCCUUUGUUUGGGGGCCAACACAAAUGGCCUGCAAGAAAAUCAACCUAGGACUGUGGUGCCUUCUAAGAGGAGGAUUGAUGCCUUUACUGCUCUUGAAGGAGAACAUAGCGAAACUGAACCCUUAUCAGAGAACAGUUCUGGUACUUGCAUAACGCCCUCCAAAAGGUUUAAGCAGGGAGUCAUUAGUCCCAGGCGCGAUGCAGUUAAUGAUUUUGAAUCAUCUCAAAGAGAUGGUGUUUCAACAGAGUUGUCUGCACAAAUUCCCCAUGCUGUUGUCCAAAAAGGGAACUUGGAAAAUGGAGCUCUUGUUGGGGGCUUGGAUGGUAGUUGUGAGGGUGCUGCAUCAAAAAUGGUUAGACAGAACAUUGAUACCAGUAGCUAUGAUGAUCGAUUGCCUGAAAUAAUGAUUACAGAGGAAAAGAUCCAAAAUGUUGGAAGUAGCAGCAAAGCUUGUGAUGAAUUGAGAACAUCAAGUGGUUCAUCACAGCAGGUAAUUCAUCAGGAUUCUCGCAUUAAUGGAACUGAAGAUCAUCGGGAGUGCAAUCGGGAAAAGUUAUUCAAAGAUGAACCUUCUGAAGGAGCCAAAAAGAAUAUUGUGGAAAGUGAUGAACCUGAGUUCUCUAGUGACAGUGAUGGAUAUCACAAUGAAAAGACUGGCCUUUCUGCAAAGAGAAAUGAUUUUGUUAGCUCUCAGUGCACUCAGGGUCAAGAUCCCUUGACAACUGAAAAUGGUAGAGUGCUCAAUCUUUGUGUGAAAUGUAAUGAAGGUGGGCAACUGUUGAUUUGCAGUUCGAACACCUGCCCAUUAUUGGUUCAUCAGAACUGCUUGGGUUCUGUUCCCAGCUUCGUUAAUGGAGAGAAAUUUUACUGCCCCUUUUGUGCAUAUUCUCGAGCAAUUUCUGAGUACCUAGAAGGUAAAAAGAUGUCCUCACUUGCAAGGAAAGAUUUGGCUUCAUUCGUUGGCGUUGGGGCUAGGCGACAAUCAAAGAAAUCUUCACGCAACUCACGUAGAACUAAGAAGAACCAGUCUAGAGAGGAUGAAGAACUGUGCCAUGAUAAGAAUAAUAAGGAUGUUUUGAAUGAGGUCAUAGAAGCCAGGAGUGCCCCAGUCAAUAGAAAUUCCGUGAUACAUGAAAUUACAGAGAUGCCUUUACCUCAACCAGAGGCUUCUGUGACUCAUGAACCCGUGGCAGCUGGACCAAAAUCCAAGACAGCACCACCUAGAUUGGAUAGAUCAAAGCAGAAGCUAUCCAGGGAGGAAGAAGAAUUGUGUCACAAUGAGUACAGAAAGAAGAAAUCUUUGAAACAGGUCCAAGAACCAGGAAAUGCUACAGUCAGUAUAAGUUCUCCUAAUGCUGAAGUUACACAGAUGGGUUCACCUCAACCAGAGGCCUCUGCACCUCCUGAAGUUGUGAGCAGACCGAGCAGUUUUGAAGAAGAAGGUUCUGAAGAUGAAGAAGCAAUUGCUUCCCGAUAUUGUGUGCGAUUUAGGAAUUCAGACAAGAACUAUUUCUUCAAAUUUGCAGUUCCUAGCCUGCAAUUCCUCAAGUGAAGCUGAAGCACCUCCUUCAAAAAAAAAAAAGGAAGAGGAAGAAACAUUGAAGGUGUGUAAAUAUUUCAAGUUUUGGAUAGAUGGAAGAACAUUUUGGAGUUCGGUCAAGUUUGAUUUUUUCCAGAGGUUGGAUCGACCCCACCCUAGUUGGUUAGGGGCUUGGUAUCAGAUGGUUCCCUUUUAAGAUUUUACCAGCUUGGCUGGCCCUCUUAGAAAGGACCAGCCUCCAAGCUUGGGGUCUCAACCUUAUGGGGGCUCAAACCGGCCCAUUUGCCAUGUUUCCUGACAUGUUAGCAACCGAGGCUAACCAAGAAUUAGCACAUUGUUCUGUCAAGUUUUUGUCCUUGGUGGGUAUAGAAGGGCUUAGAUAGUGUACUGUGUCCCUUUACCAGGUUUAGUGGUAUGCUAUCCAACAAUGGCAUGUUUGUCGUAAUUUUUGGAUUCAUGUGGGUCUAGGAAGGCUUAAAUAGUUUAGCAUGCUCAUUUUACACCUUGUUUGGAUGAUCGUUACCCGUUGUAUUGUAUUAUGUUAAUUUAAAUAUAAUAUUUGUUUUGAUUGUUACUUGAA